rnacentral:lncRNA from 1 species
GCAAAAUACUGCUCUUACAACAGCUAGGGUGAAGCUUCCACGUGGACCACAUUCUCCCGAGACGCACACUGAGGCGCACACUGCGGCCACGCCGUGACACAGCACUCGAGGCACAGGCGGAGGCCAGGUCUGGGCUGAGGUGUCUCCACGUCCCCAGAGUACCGUCCGCUCUCAGGUGCUGGGUAUUUAGUCCCAGAGAGGAGGAAAGUGACUAAGACGCCUGUCUCAAAGUGAAGAGGAAAAAGGGCUGGGGCCGCGGCUGGUGAACACUAUUGCCCAGCAUGUGCAAGGUUCCCCUGACUGCGGGGGGGCUUUCCCCGAACACACACGGCGCCCGCUCCGAGGUGCAGCGGUGGGCUCCCUGGUUUGUCUCUCCCUUUGGAGCUGGAUCGGGAGCGAGUGGACACGCUAGCACCACCGCAGCCAGCCCACUCCGCGGCCGGCUGAGCGGGCAUCAGGGCUGCGGGAGGGCUCCAUGGCAAAAAUGUGCCCUCCAAUGCCAGCUGCAGGCCCCGGACAGGCUCACCUGCUCUCUGAUUAGACAUUGCGGUUCCCACAGCCCAGCUCAACAGCUCACAGAACCCAGGGAAACAACAUUUAAGAGUUUAUUUAUUUUCCCCCUGCACUGAGGAUUGAACCCAGGGCCUUCACACUUAGCUAUCCCAGCCUUAGUCUAGUUAAGUUGCUGAACUGCCCAGUCUGGGCUCCAACUUGCAGUCCCCCUGCCUCAGCCUCCCAGAGUGCUGGGACUGCAGGUGUUCGCCUCCAUGUCUGGCUUUACCAGUUUAUUAUGAAGGACAGUACGUGGGGCCAGAUGAAGGGAGGCCGGUGAGGCCUGAGGGGAGGGCGCCCUCCCAGCACCGAGCCUGCUCUGUGGUCCGCAGAUCUGUCUCUGGGUCUGCCUGGAGCACAACCGUGGCACAGCAGCCAGCACAGCGGCGGGACCCGCAAGGUCUGUCUGCCCGGAUUCUUCAGGGAGCCAGCACCAGGGUCUUAUCUGUGCAGGACAAGGUGGGUCAGAGAAGCUCUGCAGGGUGGGGGAGGUAGGUUUCUGCGCCUGGCUUGGGGAGAGAAAGGGCAGGCAGGCCAGAGACUCUGCUUUCGGAGCACCAAACACCCAGCACUGUUCUGCUCACUUAGGCCUAGGGGAGCAGUGAGCCAGGAACCAGGGAUGAAGACUGAAACCCGUCUGCACCACAAAGGAAAGAGCAAAAACAGGUUUCCUAGAGAAGUAGCUGUGCGCCAGACGUCGGGGUCAGCUUCUGCCUAAGGCCUGGGCUUCCAGCCGCCUGGCUUGGCCUACGGGUUUCAGUUUGUCUGCCCCAGGACUGCCAGAGCCAACACUUGAACACAAAUCUUUUCCUAGGCUAGGCGCAGGGAUACAAGCCUGUAAUCCCAGCGACUCCAGAGGCUGAGGCAGGAGUUUCAAAAGUAAAAGCCCAGCCUGGACCCCUUAACAAAACUCUAUCUCAAAAAAAAUCCAAAGGGCCAGGGUGCAGCUCAGUGGUAGAGCAUUGCCUUGUACGCAAGAGACCCUAGGCUCAAUCCCUAGUCCCAUACUAAAUUGAUGAGUAAACACAUAAAGAAAUAAAACUUACUCUGUUUAUGUACAAGA